rnacentral:lncRNA from 1 species
GCGGGCGUCGUCGUCUCGGCCCUGCAGCCGCGCCAGGAGUCCGCGCUGCACAAAGCUCUGGCGGGCGGCGCGGCCCCGGCCGCCGCUCAGCUCCACCGCGCGUUCCAGAUCCUCCAGGGCGCCUGCGGGACCGACGAGACGGGCGGGGCGGGGGUCAGCGGAGGCCAGGGCGGCCUUGCCCGAGCCCCAGCCCACCUGCGGCCGCGCGGAUCACCGUGGUUCUUGCGGCUCCCGGGCGUGGCCAUUUACAACCCGCCUCGCACCUGCUAGAGAAAAGACCCCGGCCAUGGAUGGGAGACCUAGGACAAAGAUGGAAAAGAGAAUCAACUCUGCCUUAGGCGAACAAUUUACCAUAAUAUUCUGAGACAGGAGUGGAAUAACACCUCCAGCCAUUACCUGCAAAUGAGAGCUGCUUUAGGCGGGCAUUUGAUCGAGCUUCCUGGACUUUAUCUGUCAAUGACUUCCAGGCAUCUGAAAGGAAAUAAAGAAAACCCGUAAGCCAGA